UGUGCUGGCUAGUCUUACGUUGUCAGCUUGAUACAAGCUAGGCCUAUCUGAAAGAAGGGAACCUCAACGGAGAAAAUGUCUCCAUAAGAUCCAGUUGUAAAGCAUUUUCUUUAAUUGGUGAUUGAUCGGGGAGGGCCCAGGCCACUGUGGGUGGUACUAUCCCUGGGCUCGUGGUCCUUGGUUUUAUUUUUAAAAGCAGGCUGAGAAAGCCAUGGGGAGCAAGCCAGUAAGCAGCAGCCCUCCAUUACCUCUGCAUCAGCUCCUGCCUCCAUGUUCCUGCCCUGUUUGAGUUCUUGUCCUGGCUUGCUUCAAUGAUUAUGGAAGUGUAGGCCAAAUGAGCCCUCUCCUCCCCAACUUGCUUUUGGUUUUGGUGUUUCAUCACAACAGUGGAAACCCUAAAACAGUGGCAUAUGCCUUGAAUCUCAACACUUGGGAGGCAGAAGCAGGUAAAUAUGAGUUUAAGGGCAGUCUGUCCACAAAACAGGUUCCAGUGCAGCCAGGGUAACAUAGUGUGACUCUGUGCCAAGUUUAAAGCAAAGAGAACCCAAUCUAUGGAUUCUGACAAAGGCCUAAUGGUAUUGCUUCCUGCUGCUGUUCAAAACAAAACACCCUGACUAACAAACUUAGGUGAGAAAGGGUUAUAGUUCGGUUAUAUCAGAGACAUCAGGAUUGCAGGAACUUGAAGCAGCUAGUCAUGUGACAUCCAUAGUUAGGAGCAAUGCAUGAAUGCUCUGUUCAGCUUGCUGUCCACUCUUACAUGGCCCAGAGCCCAGCCCAGGAAUGCUAUUACCCACAUUUGGGAUGGUUCUUCCUACACCAAUGAAUGUAGUCAAGAUAACCCCCACAGGCAUGCCAUCAGGCCAACCUGACCUAGACCAUCUUUUGAGACUCUUUCAAGGUGAUUCUACAAGUUGGCAGUUAAAAUCAACCCCCACAUUUUGUCAUCUGUCAUACAGAAUAUUUGUGCUACCUUCAAAAAAUCUCUAGUCUCUGGGAGCACCAGGAGUCGACACUGCCAGGCAAUUUUAAGAAAACAUUAGACAAGCUAGAUGUGGGAAAUGUCCAGGCUCAAUAAAGCCAAGAGGAAGAAAGUCCAACACAAGAGAAGACCUGCCAAACAAAGAGACCAUUGAGCAGAGUAACCAGAGAAAUAUUCCCUAAAAGGCUAGGCUGGAAGAUUCACCCCACCGCCAGACACACAUCCUCUUAUCUCCAGGGCCCACUAAGGAUGGGACAGAAGAGUUACUGGCAAGAUGGACGAAGGCCACAAGCUGUACUGCGAAGCCAGGUGCUCUGCCCCAUCCUGCUGCUCUCUGAAGGAGGCCUCUCCCUAAACAGCCUGACGAAUCUCACCUAUUUGCCCUGGAAUCAUAUAAGAAUUAUUUAUCUGAUUAAUGAAAAUAAACACAGCUUGUGCCAAAAAAAAAAAAAUCCUAAGAGCAGUUUUAAUUCCACCAGGCCCUGUGGUCACCAGCAGGGACUGUAGACAAGGUUGGAUGCUGUCAACUUUGUGGACUGCUCAGAUGGCUUAGUGGGUAAAUGUUAGCUGUGCAAGCCUGGGGUCUAAGUCAGCUCCUCUGCAGUGAACAGCAGGUUGGAACUCACUGGUCAAGCUACAGAACAUUCUCGACCAUCGUUCAAAUGAUCGCAGUACCUAAAACCCAACCGCUCAGAUCCCACUCCCAAUCAAAGCGAACCCACCCAAGACCCCAAGGUCUUCCCCAACUGUUACUCUUGAUCCAUGGCACUGCCAUUCUGCCAACUACUGCUAGUAGCUUUGGCUCAAUAACCAUAAUAAUCACAUGGGCCUAUGACAGUAGAUCAUCUCUCCUGUUCUUUCCCAAAGAUGGGAUGUAGUUUCCUCAUAAAAAGACAUAACCUUUAGGAUUUGUUCAACUCCUCAUUUCCUAUCCCUAGC
rnacentral:lncRNA from 1 species